GACGAACGCUGGCGGCGUGCUUAACACAUGCAAGUCGAACGGAAAGGCCCUGCUUUUGUGGGGUGCUCGAGUGGCGAACGGGUGAGUAACACGUGAGUAACCUGCCCUUGACUUUGGGAUAACUUCAGGAAACUGGGGCUAAUACCGGAUAGGAGCUCCUGCUGCAUGGUGGGGGUUGGAAAGUUUCGGCGGUUGGGGAUGGACUCGCGGCUUAUCAGCUUGUUGGUGGGGUAGUGGCUUACCAAGGCUUUGACGGGUAGCCGGCCUGAGAGGGUGACCGGCCAAAUUGGGACUGGAAUACGGCCCAGACCCCUACGGGGGGCAGCAGGGGGGAAUAUUGCACAAUGGGCGGAAGCCUGAUGCAGCAACGCCGCGGGCGGGAUGACGGCCUUCGGGUUGUAAACCGCUUUCGCCUGUGACGAAGGGUGAGUGACGGUAAUGGGUAAAGGAGCACCGGCUAACUACGU
rnacentral:rRNA from 1 species